rnacentral:rRNA from 1 species
CCUACGGGAGGCAGCAGUGGGGAAUUUUGGACAAUGGGCGCAAGCCUGAUCCAGCCAUGCCGCGUGCGGGAAGAAGGCCUUCGGGUUGUAAACCGCUUUUGUCAGGGAAGAAAAGGUUCUGGCUAAUACCUGGGACUCAUGACGGUACCUGAAGAAUAAGCACCGGCUAACUACGUGCCAGCAGCCGCGGUAAUACGUAGGGUGCAAGCGUUAAUCGGAAUUACUGGGCGUAAAGCGUGCGCAGGCGGUUAUGCAAGACAGAGGUGAAAUCCCCGGGCUCAACCUGGGAACUGCCUUUGUGACUGCAUAGCUAGAGUACGGUAGAGGGGGAUGGAAUUCCGCGUGUAGCAGUGAAAUGCGUAGAUAUGCGGAGGAACACCGAUGGCGAAGGCAAUCCCCUGGACCUGUACUGACGCUCAUGCACGAAAGCGUGGGGAGCAAACAGGAUUAGAUACCCUGGUAGUCCACGCCCUAAACGAUGUCAACUGGUUGUUGGGAGGGUUUCUUCUCAGUACGUAGCUAACGCGUGAAGUUGACCGCCUGGGGAGUACGGCCGCAAGGUUGAAACUCAAAGUGUAGUGCGNGNGAGNGCGACGACGACGACGAGGAGGAGG